rnacentral:rRNA from 1 species
AUAGCGCACAAGUAGAGUGAUCGAAAGAUGAAAAGCACUUUGAAAAGAGAGUUAAAAAGCACGUGAAAUUGUUGAAAGGGAAGCGCUUGCGACCAGACUCGCUCGCGGGGUUCAGCCGGCAUUCGUGCCGGUGUACUUCCCCGCGGGCGGGCCAGCGUCGGUUUGGGCGGUCGGUCAAAGGCCCUCGGAAGGUAACGCCCCUAGGGGCGUCUUAUAGCCGAGGGUGCAAUGCGACCUGCCUAGACCGAGGAACGCGCUUCGGCUCGAACGCUGGCAUAAUGUUCGUAAACGACCCGUCUUGAAACACGGACCAAGGAGUUCUAACAUUUAUACGCGAGUGUUCGGGUGUCAAACCCGUGCGCGAAGUGAAAGCGAACGGAGGUGGGAACCCUCACGGGUGCACCAUCGACCGAUCCUGAAGUCUUCGGAUGGAUUUGAGUAAGAGCGUAGCUGUUGGGGACCCGAAAGAUGGUGAACUAUGCCUGAAUAGGGCGAAGCCAGAGGAAACUCUGGUGGAGGCUCGUAGCGGUUCUGACGUGCAAAUCGAUCGUCGAAUUUGGGUAUAGGGCGAAA